rnacentral:miRNA from 1 species
UGGGGGAGAGAACAGGUAGACA